rnacentral:rRNA from 1 species
CCUACGGGAGGCUGCAGUGGGGAAUAUUGGGCAAUGGGCGCAAGCCUGACCCAGCAACGCCGCGUGAAGGAAGAAGGCUUUCGGGUUGUAAACUUCUUUUCUCAGGGACGAAGCAAGUGCCGGUACCUGUGGAUUAAGCCACGGCUAACUACGUGCCAGCAGCCGCGGUAAUACGUAGGUGGCAAGCGUUAUCCGGAUUUACUGGGUGUAAAGGGCGUGUAGGCGGGAGUACAAGUCAGAUGUGAAACCCACGGGCUCAACCUGUGAACUGCAUUUGAAACUGUUGUUCUUGAGUACUGGAGAGGCAAACGGAAUUCCUAGUGUAGCGGUGAAAUGCGUAGAUAUUAGGAGGAACACCAGUGGCGAAGGCGGACUGCUGGACGGCAACUGACGCUGAGGCGCGAAAGCGUGGGGAGCAAACAGGAUUAGAUACCCCAGUAGUC